rnacentral:rRNA from 1 species
GUAGCAUAAUAAUUUGUGUUUUAAAUAAAUACUGGUAUAAACGGUUACACAUUGUUAAUUUUUCUUUUAUUUAAAAGAUAAACUUAGAGUAAAAGUAAAAAUACUUUUGUUCACUAAAAAGACGAUAAGACCCUAAAAGCUUUAUUUAAUUUCUAACUUAUUUGUAUAUAGCAAAAGUUAUUAAGUUUUAACUGGGGUAGUUAUACUUUUUGUAAGUUAAUAUAUUACUUUAAAGGUUGUUUGACCCUUUUAUAGAGGUUUUUGUUUAAGUUACUUUAGGGAUAACAGCGUUAUAAAACUAAAGAGAUCUUAUCUCCAGUUUUGAUUGCGACCUCGAUGUUGAAUUAGUAAAUCCAGAAGGGGCAGCACCCAAAAAGGAAGGUUUGUUCAACCUUUAAUUUACU